UGGGGAAUUUUGGACAAUGGGGGAAACCCUGAUCCAGCCAUCCCGCGUGUGCGAUGAAGGCCUUCGGGUUGUAAAGCACUUUUGGCAGGAAAGAAACGUCAUGGGUUAAUACCCCGUGAAACUGACGGUACCUGCAGAAUAAGCACCGGCUAACUACGUGCCAGCAGCCGCGGUAAUACGUAGGGUGCAAGCGUUAAUCGGAAUUACUGGGCGUAAAGCGUGCGCAGGCGGUUCGGAAAGAAAGAUGUGAAAUCCCAGAGCUCAACUUUGGAACUGCAUUUUUAACUACCGGGCUAGAGUGUGUCAGAGGGAGGUGGAAUUCCGCGUGUAGCAGUGAAAUGCGUAGAUAUGCGGAGGAACACCGAUGGCGAAGGCAGCCUCCAGGGAUAACACUGACGCUCAUGCACGAAAGCGUGGGGAGCAAACAGG
rnacentral:rRNA from 1 species